GUGGCGAACGGGUGAGUAACACGUGAGUAACCUGCCCUUAACUCUGGGAUAAGCCUGGGAAACUGGGUCUAAUACCGGAUAGGAGCGUCCACCGCAUGGUGGGUGUUGGAAAGAUUUAUCGGUUUUGGAUGGACUCGCGGCCUAUCAGCUUGUUGGUGAGGUAAUGGCUCACCAAGGCGACGACGGGUAGCCGGCCUGAGAGGGUGACCGGCCACACUGGGACUGAGACACGGCCCAGACUCCUACGGGAGGCAGCAGUGGGGAAUAUUGGACAAUGGGGGCAACCCUGAUCCAGCCAUGCCGCGUGUGUGAAGAAGGCCUUUUGGUUGUAAAGCACUUUAAGCAGGGAGGAGAGGCUAAUGGUUAAUACCCAUUAGAUUAGACGUUACCUGCAGAAUAAGCACCGGCUAACUCUGUGCCAGCAGCCGCGGUAAUACAGAGGGUGCGAGCGUUAAUCGGAAUUACUGGGCG
rnacentral:rRNA from 1 species